AUUUAAAAUUAAUUUAAUUUUUUUAGUUAAAUUUAAAAUUUAAAUAAAGAUAUAGAAAUUAAAGUUUUUUAGUAUUAAUUGGAAAAAAAAGUUAUAAUUUUUUAAUUGUAAGAGUAUUUUGAAAUUAAAAAAAGAAAAUUUUGUUUAUUGUACCUUUUGUAUCAGGGAUUAUUAAAAUUAAAUAUUAAAAUUAAUAUAUCUCGAAUUAAAAAGAGCUAAUUUAAUAUUAUAGUUAAUGUAGAAUAAUUAUUAUAAAUUUUAAAUUUGAAGUGAAAUGUUAAACGAUUUUUAAGAUAUCUAGUUUUUUAAUAUAAAAAUUUAAUUUUUUUAUAAAUUAGAUUAUUAAUAAUUAAAGAUUUUUAAUUGUUUUAUAAAGAAGAAUUUAUGGGAUUAUCUAUAAAUUUAAAUUAAAUGAUAAAUUUAAAAUUUAAAAUUUAGAAAUUAAAAUUUUUAAAAUUUAAAAGUUUUUAAUAAUUUAUUAUUUAAAGGGUAAUUUGAUUUUUAAGGUUAUUAAUUUAUUAUUAAAAUAAAUUUAUAAAUUUUUUAUAAAUUAAAAUAAUGAUAAUAUUAGUAUAAAUAAAUUGUUAAAUUAAUUAAAUUAUAAAAUUAAUUUAAGGAAUUAAGCAAAUUUUAAAAUUCACUUGUUUAUCAAAAACAUGUUUUUUUGAAAUUAAUAAAAAAUUUUCUCUGCCCAAUGAUAAAUUAAAUGGCCGCGGUAUUUUGACUGUGCAAAGGUAGCAUAAUAAAUAGUUUUUUAAUUGAAGACUAGAAUGAAUGAGAGGAUGAAAUUUUAACUGUCUCAAUUUAAUUAUAAAAUUUUAUUUUAAGUUAAAAUUCUUAAAUAAAUUUAAGGGACGAGAAGACCCUAUAGAAUUUAAAAAUUAAAUUUAAUUUUAGAGUUAAUAUUAUAUUGAAAUUAUUUAAAGAUUUUUUUAUUGGGAUGAUAUUUAAAUUUAAAUAACUUAAAAUUAUUAAAUUCAAUGAUUAAUGAAUUUAAGAAUAAAUUUAAUAAAUAAAAGAUAAAAUUACCUUAGGGAUAACAGCGUAAUAAAUUUUUAAAGUUCAAAUUAAAAAAUUUGAUUGCGACCUCGAUGUUGAAUUAAAAUAAAAUUUAAGUGGAGAAGC
rnacentral:rRNA from 1 species